rnacentral:lncRNA from 1 species
GGGGGUUUGCUUGCCUUGCUGCUCUGCGGCAAAGGACUGAUCGGCAGGGUCGUAGAUGUACCCGGCAGCAGCGUCAGUCUCGCGGUGUACCGGUAAGAAGAGGGGGGAGAAACAAUAAAUAAUAGCAAUGGUGCAACACAAAGCAUGACAUGGCAAGAUGCAUGCUAGACAUGAGCUAACGCAGCAACAUCCGUCAUAGACGGGGCGAAAGAAUAUCUGACGAUAUUUUCCGGGUCUCGGACUACUACCGGUCAUACUGGAAA